rnacentral:rRNA from 1 species
AGCGAACGCUGGCGGCAGGCUUAACACAUGCAAGUCGAGCGGGCCCUUCGGGGUCAGCGGCGGACGGGUGAGUAACGCGUGGGAACGUGCCUUCUGGUCUGGAAUAACCCUGGGAAACUAGGGCUAAUACCGGAUACGCUCUUUUGGGGGAAGGUUUACUGCCGGAAGAUGGGCCCGCGUCCGCUUCGCUUGUUGGUGGGGUAACGGCCUACCAAGGCGUCGAUCAGUAGCUGGUCUGAGAGGAUGAUCAGCCACACUGGGACUGAGACACGGCCCAGACUCCUACGGGAGGCAGCAGUGGGGAAUAUUGGACAAUGGGCGCAAGCCUGAUCCAGCCAUGCCGCGUGAGUGAUGAAGGCCUUAGGGUUGUAAAGCUCUUUUAUCCGGGACGAUAAUGACGGUACCGGAGGAAUAAGCCCCGGCUAACUUCGUG